rnacentral:tRNA from 1 species
GGAAAGGUGGCCGAGAGGAUGAAGGCGCCGCUCUCGAAAAGCGGUAAGGCCGCAAGGCCUUCGUGGGUUCGAAUCCCACCCUUUCCG